UUAAAUGAUAUUUAUUGAGGAGAUAAUAUUUAUUUGAAUGUUUUUAAGUAUUUAUUAAAUAUUAUUGCCAAAGAUUCAUAAAAUAAUGUGGUCUAGCACUUGUUAAAAUAAACCCUUUUUCAGGUUGAUGAUGAUGAGAAGCGUGCGUAUUUGAUCAGAAGGGUGCAGAAGAAUUAAUGAAUAAUUAAAUUGUAGAGAUCAAAGGGUUUUCAUAGUGAUUCAAAGGGGUAUUAUCUUAUCUGGCGGCACCGACGAAGAAAACGCUGCGUAGAAAGAGAGACCAAAUCAGAAGCGGGCGUGUUUGGAGGUGGGCCCCAAACGAGCAUUCCGUGUUGACUAUGUGCCUGUCGGAGUUCAUGUUGUCUUCACGUGAUGUUUCAGCGCCCCCAUCUUUCUUCUGUCUACACCUUUUCCCACUCCUCUUUCUUUCCCACUUCCAAGUGGAGUACGUAUAACAUUUUUAUUAUUACAAUAAUACAAUUAUUUUCAAAGUAAACAAUGCGUCCUCCCUGAAUGCUUUAGAAUUGAUGCGUAUAAAACAUAUAUUUAAUCUGAAGUUAAUUAAGUUGGA